GAUGAACUCUGACAUACUGCUUAACACAUGCAAGUCAACGAAGUGGCUGCCGGGUGAGUAACGUGUAAUGAUCUUACCUCACAUUUAUGGACAACUUUUGGAAACGAAUGUUAUUACCUAACACUGUGAGAGAGCUUUGCGUCCCAUUAGCUCUUUGGUGAGGUAACGGCUUACCAAGGCGAUGAUGGGUAGCCGGCCUGAGAGGGUGAUCGGCAACAAGGGGACUGAGACACGGCCCUUACUCCAACGGGAGGCAGCAGUGGGGAAUAUUGGACAAUGGACCAAAGUGUGAUCCAGAAAUUCUGUGUGCACGAUGAAGUUUUCGGAAUGUAAAGUGCAUUCAGUUGGGAAGCGGUACAAACAGAAGAAGUGACGGCUAAAUACGUGCCAGCAGCCGCGGUAAUAC
rnacentral:rRNA from 1 species